UACGAAGGGGGCUAGCGUUGCUCGGAAUCACUGGGCGUAAAGCGCACGUAGGCGGCUUCUUAAGUCAGGGGUGAAAUCCUGGAGCUCAACUCCAGAACUGCCUUUGAUACUGAGGAGCUUGAGUCCGGGAGAGGUGAGUGGAACUGCGAGUGUAGAGGUGAAAUUCGUAGAUAUCGGGAGGAACACCGGUGGCGAAGGCGGCGACCUGGGUAGAUACUGACGCUGAGGUGCGAAAGCGUGGGGAGCAAACAGG
rnacentral:rRNA from 1 species